CUUAGCAGAGAUGCUUUGGUGCCUUCGGGAACUCUGAGACAGGUGCUGCAUGGCUGUCGUCAGCUCGUGUUGUGAAAUGUUGGGUUAAGUCCCGCAACGAGCGCAACCCUUAUCCUUUGUUGCCAGCGGUCCGGCCGGGAACUCAAAGGAGACUGCCAGUGAUAAACUGGAGGAAGGUGGGGAUGACGUCAAGUCAUCAUGGCCCUUACGAGUAGGGCUACACACGUGCUACAAUGGCGCAUACAAAGAGAAGCGACCUCGCGAGAGCAAGCGGACCUCAUAAAGUGCGUCGUAGUCCGGAUUGGAGUCUGCAACUCGACUCCAUGAAGUCGGAAUCGCUAGUAAUCGUGGAUCAGAAUGCCACGGUGAAUACGUUCCCGGGCCUUGUACACACCGCCCGUCACACCAUGGGAGUGGGUUGCAAAAGAAGUAGGUAGCUUAACCUUCGGGAGGACGCUUACCACUUUGUGAUUCAUGACUGGGGUGAAGUCGUAACAAGGUAAGCGUAGUGCU
rnacentral:rRNA from 1 species